rnacentral:lncRNA from 1 species
AUGCAUUCGAGCCACUCGUUGUUUCGCCCUGGGUCUGCCAGCACUGGCUGAGCUGGAGGCACGCACGACCUGUUCUGACUUCUCCGAAGCGGGUUUUGAUGUGCGCGAACCCCUCCUGCCAGUGCUGCUGCUGCGCUGCCUGGCGUUUCUAAAUUUACCCUCUCGCACAGCUGAUUAGGGAGGCAGGAAGCCAUAGAUCCUGAAGCUUUCAGGAGACAGCCUCUCCCUCAAGACGUACUUCAGUGAGCUAAACGCACAGCAAACAACAUGCAGGCGGGCGAGAUCUCAAGCCUGGGCAUGUCAAUGCGCAACUUUUCAGAAGUGACUUUCCAGACUCUGGAACUAUGUGCGGCGUAACAAAACAGACUGAUUUGGUGACAAGAUGUACAAAAGUUUGCCAAGAUAUCUGUGGAUACCAUAAGAAGAUGGGUGAGGAGUUUAUGACUGCCGAUGUGCACAGACCUGUUAACCGCUUAUCUUCUGGUUGCGUGAGGGCCCAAGAACAGCCCAUGUUCCAGGAGCACGGCCACAUGGUGGGGACGUGGCCCGGAUGUCCUCUGCACCGGGUGAGGUGACAAGACACGUGUGGGUGCGCUGAGGCUCUGCCAGGGCUGGGUUUCUUCCAGGUCACAAGCACGAAUCUACCUGAACCCUGGCUCCUCUUGUGCUGCAAGUCAACAAGGCCCCAUAACUUCUACUCUUUCCCCUUCUCGCUUUCUCCCUGUAGAUGCAGCUGUUUGUGGCUCCCUGGUGGGAUGCAGAAAGGGGAAGCAUGGACCCGUGGCCUCCAUGGCCUCUGGCUGAAGGAGGUGCUGAGGUGAGGGCCUUAGGGUAGGGGAACACCAAGGGGAAGGCAAAGGAGCCAGCAUCAGGCUGUGUCACUGCUCGCUCUUCCUAGCAGCUUUCCAUUGAGGCGUGUGGUCUGCGGUGGCUGUGAUAGGAACCCCAGGGAUGGACUUUCCCCACUGACUACACUUCUGGAAAAGUAGAUGUUCACAGCAGAAACACUCUGGGUCUGCAGCAGUGGCGUGCCUCUGUGCCGUGAGUCCUCAGCUCCACAGGCAGGGGAGAUCCAUCUUCAGGCCAUGGUCUCUCCCACCCUUUAGCCUCAGAAGAUGAUUCCCACAAACUUUGAGGGGAAUCCUGCCAAAUCUCCUGCCCCCACCUCAGGGAGAGCUCAGUUCCCCAGAAAGCAAUCUGAAACCUCAUUUAGGAUUUCACUGAGGCCUGCUUGGCAAUAAAAUCCCCCUGUUAUGCUGCA